UAUCUCUUCUUAUCCAUCUUCUUCAUCUCACUCCCUGCUUCAGAAAAACAAAAAAAAUCUCACCCCCUCAACAUCUCUCUCCCACUCUUCUUUUCUUUCUAACUCCAACAGAAUAGAGAAGAUCUUCUCCAUCUUCUUCAUCUCCUCCGAAGAGAAGAGAUCUCGUCUCCAUCUUCUCCUUCUUCUUCUUUCAUGCAAAAGCUAUUUUUCUCACAAAUAUAAGAGCAGUGGAUUCACCAACAGAAGAAGAAGUAUCAACUGAUUUUCCAUCAAUAAGGGUUAGCCAAUGCAAAGACUUAUGCAAUUCAAGAUGGAAAAGAUUCAGGUGUUGUUCUUGCUGCUACUAAGAGUAACAAACAUAUGAACCCUCUAAUUUUGGUGCACAAAACUGUCAUGAAAAGGAAUUCAGUAGAUUGGCUAAGGGUGUUGCCAACCAGGUAAUUUAACAAACCCUUUCUCUUAUUUCAGAUUUUGUAAUAGAUUUUUGAUGCAUACAUAGAUAACUUGAUUUUUUUAGCCACUUUGACAACACUGGUUGUGUGUUCCACAAGUGCGUGCAAUGCGAUGGUUGCUGGUACAUCAUAUUACAGAACCUCGGUUUAAGUCCAAAGUGUAAGAGUACAAUGCCUUUUUGGUUCCUUCAAUUUAGUUAAUGAAUCUCUUUUAAGCUAGUUAUUACUUUUUAAAAUUCGUUUACAUGGGAAAUUUCUUUGUUGGAAAGCAAUUACAAUCUCUGCACCAUUUGCUUCUCGGAAUUAGGGAAUGACGCUCAAUGAACCAGAAAAGAAAAACCCCAUCUUUUACCGAUACCCUAGCCGCAUCUUUUUUCUCAAGGUCCAGCUCCACCCAUCAUGUAUCUCUCAUAUCUUGAAUGCAUCUAAAUUUUUAGAUUCCUGGUGAUGGAUACCCUGUGGGAACAAUGCUAGACAUUGUAGUUGAUCUAACAGCACCAGUUGCCCAUGGACGCUAUAUUUCUUACUGGAGGAUGAUGUCACCUUCUGGUGAAAUGUUUGAGGAGUGGAUUUGGGUAAUAAUCGAGGUUACUAGUACUGACAGGAAAUGUUUCCACAUUACCUUAUCAAGGCACAUGUAGGCGUUGCGAUAAAUUUUCCUCAUACUACGAGAAGCUCAAGAUGGUAUUGAAGGUAGCUAGGAAGAAGAUGAGGAGGCUUAUGAGGUAUAGUUGUUUUAUAAAGUUUAUGUAUCCAACUGUGAGGUAUGAGUGUUAGAGAUGGACAUGGAAAGUUCACAAUAGGAGAUGGGGAAUUUCCAUUGGCGUAUAUGUAUUGUAGCCUAUAAUUUGAUUUAUCCCGUUGUUAUUUUCUGUGAAUUCUGAAAUAUAGUUCUUCUAAUUUUAGCAAUUGGUUAAGCCACUGGUAAAGACAUCACAAGGCUAUUCGACUUGAAACAUCAUACUGAUGUUUGAGCAGUUGAGCAUGAUGAUUUCGGUAGUCUGGUAAACUACCAACUUCUUAAGUUUUAUGAUUUUUGGUUAACUUGUCUUUGCUUAACAUUGUUUUUUUUGCUUGAGUUUCUGUUUUGCAUAUACUUGUAACAAGGUCUUGUGGUUAUAAGAACUGAUUUUCACUGGACAUUUGUAGUUUGCUGAGAAGUUCAGCUUACUUGAACAAUAUAUAAUAGAAAAAGAUAAGCAGAAAAAGGUAAAAGUAAGAACCGCUGCGCCCACGUUGUGAUUGCGUAUCUAUAUGAUUUGUUAUUGAAAGGAUUCAUUUGACAUGAACCAAUAACCUAUUGCGCAGUUUGAUUUGGUACAUUUUCUUGAACUGUAUGAUUAGUACGUAAUACCUUGAUAUACCAAUUCAAUUUUAAACUUCAAACACUUAUGGUGUUAAUAAUUUCUCGGAUCUGUACCUUGGUUUUGUUAACAACUUCAAACACUUUAUUUUUGUUAAUAACUUCAAACACUUUGGUGAUCAUAGCCCUUAGAUUACUGAUGUUACUUUAUCUGCGUGAAUUUUUGUCCGUCCAAUUUGAUUAAGCACAUUCUUUUGGUUUCACCCUUUUCUGGUGGUGUUGUGUUUGAUGUGGGUUUGAAUUUUUCAUUGUUCUGGAUCGUUGAAUAUGGGAGAUAUAUUCGAAUUGCUAAGAACUCUACCUUACUUCUAUUUUGAUGGGAGGGAUUUAUUGUUUCUAGUUGGCAUUUUGUUGUAAUGGAAAGGGUAUACAUUUUAGUUAUGCAAGUCUGAUCAGAAUUGUCCAUUUGUCAGUUGCUUUCAGUUUUUAGGGAUAAUUGCUAGUGGAGCUUCUAUUUCAUAGACUAUUGAUUCUAUUUCUAGUUAUAGUUUGACUUGUUUUUUUAUUAUGGUGACACAUUUGAUUUAUGUAGUUAUCCGUCUAACUUACCCGACCAAUGCCUUAUGUACAUCUGAUAAAGGUGAUGCAAAUGCUAUUUUUUUUUAUAUAUGAUGCAUUACAGGUUGAUAAACUAAUAAAGGAGGAGGCCCACGAAAUGGAUGUAAAAGAAGUACAAUGGAGCUCUCAGGUCUGUUUUAUUUUUCUGAAUCAAACACACUUCAUAAUGUUAAAUAGAUCUGUCCCUGGACUUAUAACUAUUACUUACACAAACUUAUGAUGCAGUCUAAAUUUCUGAAUUGUAUUUAAGUCCCAAAUAUUUAGGUUCAGAUACAUGUGGUUCUAGCAAGUUCCAAAUUGGUUCAU